rnacentral:rRNA from 1 species
UACAGAGGUCUCAAGCGUUGUUCGGAUUCAUUGGGCGUAAAGGGUGCGUAGGCGGCGCGGUAAGUCGGGUGUGAAAUCUUGGAGCUUAACUCCGAAACUGCAUUCGAUACUGCCGUGCUUGAGGACUGGAGAGGAGACUGGAAUUUACGGUGUAGCGGUGAAAUGCGUAGAUAUCUGGAGGAACACCGGUGGCGAAGGCGGCGUCCUGGACCAACACUGACACUGAGGAGCGAAAGCCAGGGGAGCAAACGGG